rnacentral:misc_RNA from 1 species
AACCAUAGAAACCUGCGGAGUACCUGCGGAAGGAUCAUUACCGAGUCUUCGUACUCAAAACAACCCUUCUGUGGACCUGAAUAAAACCGUUGCCUCGGCAGGCGGCCCUACCUACGGGCCAGAUAGUUCGGCUGCCUCCAGGGAGGAAACCCUCCCUGAGGUGCUGGCGCCAGCCGCUGGCCCCAAACCAAAACUCUAGUAACUUUUACCUUCUGAGUUUUAAUGCAAGAAAUAAGUCAA